GACGAACGCUCGUUGAGUGCUUACACAUGCAAGUCGAACGGAAAGGCCCUGCCCUUGUGGGGUGCUCGAGUGGCGAACGAGUGAGUAACACGUGAGUAACCUGCCCUUGACUUUGGGAUAACUUCAGGAAACUGGGGCUAAUACCGGAUAGGAGCUCCUGCUGCAUGGUGGGGGUUGGAAAGUUUCGGCGGUUGGGGAUGGACUCGCGGCUUAUCAGCUUGUUGGUGGGGUAGUGGCUUACCAAGGCUUUGACGGGUAGCCGGCCUGAGAGGGUGACCGGCCACAUUGGGACUGAGAUACGGCCCAGACUCCUACGGGAGGCAGCAGUGGGGAAUAUUGCACAAUGGGCGGAAGCCUGAUGCAGCAACGCCGCGUGCGGGAUGACGGCCUUCGGGUUGUAAACCGCUUUCGCCUGUGACGAAGCGUGAGUGACGGUAAUGGGUAAAGAAGCACCGGCUAACUACGUGCCAGCAGCCGCGGUGAUACGUAGGGUGCGAGCGUUGUCCGGAUUUAUUGGGCGUAAAGGGCUCGUAGGUGGUUGAUCGCGUCGGAAGUGUAAUCUUGGGGCUUAACCCUGAGCGUGCUUUCGAUACGGGUUGACUUGAGGAAGGUAGGGGAGAAUGGAAUUCCUGGUGGAGCGGUGGAAUGCGCAGAUAUCAGGAGGAACACCAGUGGCGAAGGCGGUUCUCUGGGCCUUUCCUGACGCUGAGGAGCGAAAGCGUGGGGAGCGAACAGGCUUAGAUACCCUGGUAGUCCACGCUGUAAACGGUGGGUACUAGGUGUGGGGUCCAUUCCACGGGUUCCGUGCCGUAGCUAACGCUUUAAGUACCCCGCCUGGGGAGUACGGCCGCAAGGCUAAAACUCAAAGGAAUUGACGGGGCCCCGCACAAGCGGCGGAGCAUGCGGAUUAAUUCGAUGCAACGCGUAGAACCUUACCUGGGUUUGACAUGGAUCGGGAGUGCUCAGAGAUGGGUGUGCCUCUUUUGGGGUCGGUUCACAGGUGGUGCAUGCCUGUCGUCAGCUCGUGUCGUGAGAUGUUGGGUUAAGUCCCGCAACGAGCGCAACCCUUGUUCACUGUUGCCAGCACGUUAUGGUGGGGACUCAGUGGAGACCGCCGGGGUCAACUCGGAGGAAGGUGGGGAUGACGUCAAGUCAUCAUGCCCCUUAUGUCCAGGGCUUCACGCAUGCUACAAUGGCUGGUACAGAGAGUGGCGAGCCUGUGAGGGUGAGCGAAUCUCGGAAAGCCGGUCUCAGUUCGGAUUGGGGUCUGCAACUCGACCUCAUGAAGUCGGAGUCGAUAGUAAUCGCAGAUCAGCAACGCUGCGGUGAAUACGUUCCCGAGGCG
rnacentral:rRNA from 1 species